CACGGGUGCGUAACGCGUGGGAAUCUACCCAGAGGUACGGAAUAACUCUCCGAAAGGAGUGCUAAUACCGUAUGAUGUCGCAAGACCAAAGAUUUAUCGCCUUUGGAUGAGCCCGCGUAGGAUUAGCUAGUUGGUAAGGUAAAAGCUUACCAAGGCGACGAUCCUUAGCUGGUCUGAGAGGAUGAUCAGCCACACUGGGACUGAGACACGGCCCAGACUCCUACGGGAGGCAGCAGUGGGGAAUAUUGGACAAUGGGCGAAAGCCUGAUCCAGCAAUGCCGCGUGAGUGAUGAAGGCCUUAGGGUUGUAAAGCUCUUUUACCCGGGAAGAUAAUGACUGUACCGGGAGAAUAAGCCCCGGCUAACUCCGUGCCAGCAGCCGCGGUAAU
rnacentral:rRNA from 1 species